rnacentral:rRNA from 1 species
CAGAGUAGUUAAGCCCGCCUGCGCAGAUGGUACUGCAGUUAUGUGGGAGAGUAUGUCGUCGCCUUUC